rnacentral:rRNA from 1 species
CAGUAGCCGCGGGAAAACGUAGGGUGCGAGCGUUAAUCGGAAUUACUGGGCGUAAAGCGUGCGCAGGCGGUUUUGUAAGGCAGGCGUGAAAUCCCCGGGCUCAACCUGGGAAUGGCGCUUGUGACUGCAAAGCUAGAGUGCGGCAGAGGGGGAUGGGAUUCCGCGUGUAGCAGUGAAAUGCGUAGAUAUGCGGAGGAACACCGAUGGCGAAGGCAAUCCCCUGGGCCUGCACUGACGCUCAUGCACGAAAGCGUGGGGAGCAAACAGGAUUAGAUACCCGCGUAGUCCCUGUCUCUUAUAC